rnacentral:rRNA from 1 species
GACGAAGGGGGCGAGCGUUGUUCGGAAUCACUGGGCAUAAAGCGCACGUAGGCGGUGCCUUAAGUCGGAUGUGAAAUCCCUCGGCCUAACCGAGAAACUGCGUCGGAUACUGCGGUGCUUGAGGAUCAGAGGGGUGCAUGGAAUUUCCGGUGGAGCGGUGAAAUGCGUUGAUAUCGGAAGGAACUCCGGCGGCGAAAGCGAUGCACUGGCUGAUUUCUGACGCUGAGGUGCGAAAGCCAGGGGAGCAAACGGG